GAGCUUCUGCAUUCCUAAGGAGAUCUCAGGUAGCCCAGGGUUGCUACGUCUCAGGCAGAAGGUGAAUUGCAAUGAUUGAAGGACUUUCUCUUGAAAAAAGAGCAUGCUCCUUCCUUAAGUUUUGCUGUAUUUGUGGAACGAUGGAGAAGGAAGCUGCCUUGUUCCUAACAAAGAGGCCUUAGUCUUGAUUAGGAAACAGAAGUGCUGCAGGUCCCCUCAAUUGACGUCGCUGCCGGAACAAAUGCAUUUUCUCAGGGAGAAGAUGCAAAAGAAAUAUUUUCUCCAUGUUCUGAAGCUUUCACUGAAAUUAUGAAAAUAUGACAAGGAUUACAUUGAAAAUAACUAAGUUUGGAUCCUUCAACUUUACAUUGAAGACAUUUCACAAUAUUAGAUAUGAAGUGGGUGACCAGCAAUAAUCACAGAUAAGAUUUCAGUGGGGAAAAAAGAUUAUCCUGACUCUCAUGGAGAAGUAAAGU